rnacentral:ncRNA from 1 species
UUGAUCAAUUAAGUGAUGUAAAAUUAAAACUAUAGUGUUGAUUUAUCAUACAUAAAUUGCAUUGUCUGUUGAAAUUGGGAAUCCAAUUUCUCUUUGUUGGGCCCCACCCCAACUUACAUUGUUUGUAGAAUUUCUUUUCGAAAUUCUCUGUGUUGGGGCCCCUGACUAGAAUUGAAAAGUAAUACACAUCAGUAACAUUUCUAUUUUCAUUUAUGAUAU